AACGUAGGAGGCGAGCGUUAUCCGGAUUUACUGGGCGUAAAGCGCGUGUAGGCGGUUCGGUUAGUUGGAUGUGAAAGCUCCCGGCUUAACUGGGAGAGGUCGUUCAAUACUGCCGGACUAGAGGAUGGGAGAGGGAGGUGGAAUUCCGGGUGUAGUGGUGAAAUGCGUAGAUAUCCGGAGGAACACCAGUGGCGAAGGCGGCCUCCUGGCCCAUUUCUGACGCUCAGACGCGAAAGCUAGGGGAGCGAACGGG
rnacentral:rRNA from 1 species